CCUACGGGUGGCAGCAGUGGGGAAUAUUGGGCAAUGGGCGCAAGCCUGACCCAGCAACGCCGCGUGAAGGAAGAAGGCCCUCGGGUUGUAAAAUUCUUUUAUUCGGGACGCAACAAAUGACGGUACCGAAGGAAUAAGCCACGGCGAACUACGUGCCAGCAGCCGCGGUAAUCCGUAGGUGGCAAGCGUUAUCCGGAUUUACUGGGUGUACAGGGCGUGUAGGCGGGAGAGGAAGUCAGACGUGAAAUUCAAGGGCCCAAACCUGUAACUGCGUUUGAAACUGUUCUUCUUGAGUGAUGGAGAGGCAGGCGGAAUGCCGUGUGUAGCGGUGAAAUGCGUAGAUAUACGGAGGAACACCAGUGGCGAAGGCGGCCUGCUGGACAUCAACUGACGCUGAGGCGCGAAAGCGUGGGGAGCAAACAGGAUUAGAUACCCUAGUAGUC
rnacentral:rRNA from 1 species